GACAGAGGGGGCAAGCGUUGCUCGGAAUCACUGGGCGUAAAGAGCUCGUAGGGGGUUUGUCGCGUUGUUCGUGAAAACUCACAGCUCAACUGUGGGCGUGCGGGCGAUACGGGCAGACUAGAGUACUGCAGGGGAGACUGGAAUUCCUGGUGUAGCGGUGGAAUGCGCAGAUAUCAGGAGGAACACCGGUGGCGAAGGCGGGUCUCUGGGCAGUAACUGACGCUGAGGAGCGAAAGCGUGGGGAGCGAACAGG
rnacentral:rRNA from 1 species